CACGGGCAGUUUGAGUUGAUUCGCUCUUUUAAAGUAGAGCUUGGGUCAAAUUACUGUCCGAAAAUUAUAGAGAGGAGCUCAUGUAUAGAUUGAAAUUGUUUGGAAAACUUUCAACCACAUAGCUCUUCCCACAGUU
rnacentral:snoRNA from 13 species